rnacentral:rRNA from 1 species
UACGGGAGGCAGCAGUGGGGAAUAUUGCACAAUGGGCGAAAGCCUGAUGCAGCGACGCCGCGUGAGGGAUGACGGCCUUCGGGUUGUAAACCUCUUUCAGCAGGGAAGAAGCGCAAGUGACGGUACCUGCAGAAGAAGCGCCGGCUAACUACGUGCCAGCAGCCGCGGUAAUACGUAGGGCGCAAGCGUUGUCCGGAAUUAUUGGGCGUAAAGAGCUCGUAGGCGGCCAGUCGCGUCGGGUGUGAAAGACCGGGGCUUAACCCCGGUUCUGCAUUCGAUACGGGCUGGCUAGAGUGUGGUAGGGGAGAUCGGAAUUCCUGGUGUAGCGGUGAAAUGCGCAGAUAUCAGGAGGAACACCGGUGGCGAAGGCGGAUCUCUGGGCCAUUACUGACGCUGAGGAGCGAAAGCGUGGGGAGCGAACAGGAUUAGAUACCCUGGUAGUCCACGCCGUAAACGGUGGGAACUAGGUGUUGGUCACAUUCCACGUGAUCGGUGCCGCAGCUAACGCAUUAAGUUCCCCGCCUGGGGAGUACGGCCGCAAGGCUAAAACUCAAAGGAAUUGACGGGGGCCCGCACAAGCAGCGGAGCAUGUGGCUUAAUUCGACGCAACGCGAAGAACCUUACCAAGGCUUGACAUACACCGGAAACGUCCAGAGAUAGGCGCCCCCUUGUGGUCGGUGUACAGGUGGUGCAUGGCUGUCGUCAGCUCGUGUCGUGAGAUGUUGGGUUAAGUCCCGCAACGAGCGCAACCCUUGUCCCGUGUUGCCAGCAACUCUUCGGAGGUUGGGGACUCACGGGAGACCGCCGGGGUCAACUCGGAGGAAGGUGGGGACGACGUCAAGUCAUCAUGCCCCUUAUGUCUUGGGCUGCACACGUGCUACAAUGGCCGGUACAAUGAGCUGCGAUACCGCGAGGUGGAGCGAAUCUCAAAAAGCCGGUCUCAGUUCGGAUUGGGGUCUGCAACUCGACCCCAUGAAGUCGGAGUUGCUAGUAAUCGCAGAUCAGCAUUGCUGCGGUGAAUACGUUCCCGGGCCUUGUACACACCGCCCGUCACGUCACGAAAGUCGGUAACACCCGAAGCCGGUGG